rnacentral:rRNA from 1 species
GACGAACGCUGGCGGCGUGCUUAACACAUGCAAGUCGAACGGAAAGGCCCUGCUCUUGUGGGGUGCUCGAGUGGCGAACGGGUGAGUAACACGUGAGUAACCUGCCCUUGAUUUUGGGAUAACUUCAGGAAACUGGGGCUAAUACCGGAUAGGAGCUCCUGCUGCAUGGUGGGGGUUGGAAAGUUUCGGCGGUUGGGGAUGGACUCGCGGCUUAUCAGCUUGUUGGUGGGGUAGUGGCUUACCAAGGCUUUGACGGGUAGCCGGCCUGAGAGGGUGACCGGCCACAUUGGGACUGAGAUACGGCCCAGACUCCUACGGGAGGCAGCAGUGGGGAAUAUUGCACAAUGGGCGGAAGCCUGAUGCAGCAACGCCGCGUGCGGGAUGACGGCCUUCGGGUUGUAAACCGCUUUCGCCUGUGACGAAGCGUGAGUGACGGUAAUGGGUAAAGAAGCACCGGCUAACUACGUG